GAGGUCAUUCAAGUAUGCUUGGGUCCUUGACAAGCUCAAGGCUGAACGUGAACGUGGUAUUACUAUUGACAUUGCCCUUUGGAAGUUUGAGACUACCAAGUACUACUGCACAGUUAUUGAUGCUCCGGGACAUCGAGAUUUUAUCAAGAAUAUGAUUACUGGCACCUCCCAGGCUGAUUGUGCAAUUCUUAUCAUUGACUCCACCACUGGUGGCUUUGAAGCUGGUAUCUCAAAGGAUGGACAGACCCGUGAACAU
rnacentral:misc_RNA from 1 species